rnacentral:rRNA from 1 species
UAGUCCUAGCUGUAAACGGUGCACACUUGCUGUAGGCGGAUUCGACCCCGUCUGUGGCGAAGCUAACGCGUUAAGUGUGCCGCCUGGGGAGUACGGUCGCAAGAUUAAAACUCAAAGAAAUUGACGGGGGCCUGCACAAGCGGUGGAGUAUGUGGCUUAAUUCGAUGCAACGCGAAGAACCUUACCUGGCCUUGACAUGCAUCUCUAAGUCUGUGAAAGCAGGCGAGGUAGCAAUACCAAUUUGCACAGGUGCUGCAUGGCUGUCGUCAGCUCGUGUCGUGAGAUGUUGGGUUAAGUCCCGCAACGAGCGCAACCCUCGUGUCCUGUUGCCACCUUCGCUUCGGCGAAGAGCACUCUGGACAGACCGCCCGGUCUCAACCGGGAGGAAGGUGGGGAUGACGUCAAGUCAGUAUGGCCCUUACGGCCAGGGCUGCACACGUACUACAAUGCCUGGAACAAGGGAAGCAAGACCGCAAGGUGGAGCAAAUCUCAUAAA